rnacentral:rRNA from 1 species
UGGUGGAGCGAUUUGUCUGGUCAAUUCCGAUAACGAACGAUACUCUAGCCUACUAAAUAGUUCGGGGACCCCCACAAAGGGGCCCCGCUUCAACUUCUUAGAGGGACAGGUGGCGUUUAGCCACACGAGAUUGAGCAAUUACA